rnacentral:piRNA from 1 species
UCCUCUGAGUGGAUGCUGGUGAUUCUGGU